rnacentral:rRNA from 1 species
GAUGAACGCUGGCGGCGUGCCUAAUACAUGCAAGUCGAGCGAAUGGAUUGAGAGCUUGCUCUUAUGAAGUUAGCGGCGGACGGGUGAGUAACACGUGGGUAACCUGCCCAUAAGACUGGGAUAACUCCGGGAAACCGGGGCUAAUACCGGAUAACAUUUUGAACCGCAUGGUUCGAAAUUGAAAGGCGGCUUCGGCUGUCACUUAUGGAUGGACCCGCGUCGCAUUAGCUAGUUGGUGAGGUAACGGCUCACCAAGGCAACGAUGCGUAGCCGACGUGAGAGGGUGAUCGGCCACACUGGGACUGAGACACGGCACAGACUCCUACGGGAGGCAGCAGUAGGGAAUCUUCCGCAAUGGACGAAAGUCUGACGGAGCAACGCCGCGUGAGUGAUGAAGGCUUUCGGGUCGUAAAACUCUGUUGUUAGGGAAGAACAAGUGCUAGUUGAAUAAGCUGACACCUUGACGGUACCUAACCAGAAAGCCACGGCUAACUACGUGCCAGCAGCCGCCGUAA